rnacentral:tRNA from 1 species
GGUUAUGGCUCAGUGGUAGAGUGCUUGCCUAGUAUGCAUGAAGCACUGGGUUCAAUCCCCAGAACCA